rnacentral:rRNA from 1 species
CCUACGGGCGGCAGCAGUGGGGAAUAUUGGACAAUGGGCGAAAGCCUGAUCCAGCCAUGCCGCGUGUGUGAAGAAGGCCUUCGGGUUGUAAAGCACUUUCAGUGGGGAAGAAAGCCUUGGGGCUAAUACCCUCGAGGAAGGACAUCACCCACAGAAGAAGCACCGGCUAACUCCGUGCCAGCAGCCGCGGUAAUACGGAGGGUGCGAGCGUUAAUCGGAAUUACUGGGCGUAAAGCGCGCGUAGGCGGGCGGAUAAGCCGGUUGUGAAAGCCCCGGGCUCAACCUGGGAACGGCAUCCGGAACUGUCAGGCUAGAGUGCAGGAGAGGAAGGUAGAAUUCCCGGUGUAGCGGUGAAAUGCGUAGAGAUCGGGAGGAAUACCAGUGGCGAAGGCGGCCUUCUGGACUGACACUGACGCUGAGGUGCGAAAGCGUGGGUAGCAAACAGGAUUAGAUACCCUGGUAGUC